UAUGUAGGGUGCAAGCGUUGUCCGGAAUUAUUGGGCGUAAAGAGCUCGUAGGCGGUCUGUCGCGUCGGAUGUGAAAACCCAGGGCUCAACCCUGGGCCUGCAUUCGAUACGGGCAGACUAGAGUUCGGUAGGGGAGACUGGAAUUCCUGGUGUAGCGGUGAAAUGCGCAGAUAUCAGGAGGAACACCGGUGGCGAAGGCGGGUCUCUGGGCCGAAACUGACGCUGAGGAGCGAAAGCGUGGGGAGCAAACAGG
rnacentral:rRNA from 1 species